GCCCUGGUGGUCCAGUGGUUAAGACUCUGCACUUAAACUGCAGGGGGCGCAAGUUCGAUUCCUGGUCAGGGAA
rfam:Ovis aries breed Texel chromosome 2, whole genome shotgun sequence.